rnacentral:rRNA from 1 species
GAGCUCAUCGUCGUCAGCAAUGACGGCGCGGUGAGUUCCUGGGGCCCAGAUCGUUUACCGUGAAAAAAUUAGAGUGUUCAAAGCAGGCAGAUCCAAUUUUCUGCCACCGAAUACAUUAGCAUGGGAUAAUGGAAUAGGACCCUGUCCUCCUAUUUUCAGUUGGUUUGAAGACCAGGGUAAUGAUUAAUAGGGAUAGUUGGGGGGCAUUAAUAUUUAAUUGUCAGAGGUGAAAUUCUUGGAUUUAUGAAAGAUUAACUUCUGCGAAAGCAUCUGCCAAGGAUGUUUUCAUUAAUCAAGAACGAAAGUUAGGGG